rnacentral:rRNA from 1 species
AGUGAACGCUGGCGGCAGGCCUAAUACAUGCAAGUCGAACGGCAGCACAGCAGAGCUUGCUCUGUGGGUGGCGAGUGGCGGACGGGUGAGGAAUACGUGGGAAUCUGCCCAGUCGUGGGGGAUAACGUAGGGAAACUUACGCUAAUACCGCAUGCGCCCUUCGGGGAAAGCCGGGGACCUUCGGGCCUGGCGCGAUUGGAUGAGCCCACGUCGGAUUAGCUAGUGGCGGGGUAAAGGCCCACCAAGGCGACGAUCCGUAGCUGGUCUGAGAGGAUGAUCAGCCACACUGGAACUGAGACACGGUCCAGACUCCUACGGGAGGCAGCAGUAGGGAAUAUCGGACAAUGGGCGCAAGCCUGAUCCAGCCAUGCCGCGUGAGUGAAGAAGGCCCUCGGGUUGUAAGCUCUUUGUCCGGAAAGAAAGCGCCGGGUUAAUACCCUGGUGUCCUGACGGUACC